GCUGACAUAGUGACAGAGAUGGCUCAGAGUGACAGAGAUGUGCUCAGGUCUCUCCUGUGACGUCCUGAGCUCCUCAGUUCACUCUCAGCAACAGUGUCUGAUGUUCCCUGUGACUCUAUGGGCUCAAUGUGAAGAACUGGGGAGCCCAGCCCCCCCUGCACACCAGGACCCUGUCCCUGCACUAUCUGUGUUCCCUUCCACAGCCAACCUUCCUGGUCCAGAUGACAGGAGGGAACAUCUCCAUCCUGUCACCUCCAUGCUGCCCUGAGCUGCAGCCCCUGACUCCCAACUGAAAAUAAGAAUCUGAGGGCUGGAGAGAUGGCUCAGUGGUUAAGAGCACUGGCUAUUCUUCCAGAGGUCCUGAGUUCAAUUCCUAGCAACCACAUGGUGGCUUACAACUGUCCGUAAUGAGAUCUGGUGCCUUCUUCU